AUUGAACGCUGGCGGCAGGCUUAACACAUGCAAGUCGAGCGGAGCGAGGGUGCUUGCACCUUAGCUUAGCGGCGGACGGGUGAGUAAUGCUUAGGAAUCUGCCUAUUAGUGGGGGACAACAUUCCGAAAGGAAUGCUAAUACCGCAUACGUCCUACGGGGGAAAGCAGGGGAUCUUCGGACCUUGCGCUAAUAGAUGAGCCUAAGUCGGAUUAGCUAGUUGGGGGGGUAAAGGCCUACCAAGGCGACGAUCUGUAGCGGGUCUGAGAGGAUGAUCCGCCACACUGGGACUGAGACACGGCCCAGAGUCCUACGGGAGGCAGCAGUGGGGAAUAUUGGACAAUGGGCGGAAGCCUGAUCCAGCCAUGCCGCGUGUGUGAAGAAGGCCUUUUGGUUGUAAAGCACUUUAAGCGAGGAGGAGGCUACUAGUAUUAAUACUACUGGAUAGUGGACGUUACUAGCAGAAUAAGCACCGGCUAACUCUGUGCCAGCCGCCGCCGUAACAC
rnacentral:rRNA from 1 species